rnacentral:tmRNA from 1 species
GGGGCUGGAUUGGAAUUGACAACAAGAUUAAUAUAUAAGUAAGCAUAUCGUGAAAAGUAAUGUAAUCACGUAAAUAUCAUUACAAAUGAUAACCGGCAAAAAAAAUUAUGCUCUUGCUGCUUGAGAAAGCAAGAUUUUUUGAUAAAUUUAAUUUUUAAUUUGAAAGAUUGAGGUUCUAAAUCUUUCUUGAAUUGUUUAGAACUUUCUUAUAAGAAAGAGUUUCUUAUCACUAAUCUUAUGUGAAAUUUUAUCUUUGAUAAGAUAAAUAUGUAGAAAACUUAUAAUAUUACUUGUUUGGACACGGGUUCGAAUCCCGUCAGCUCCAC